rnacentral:rRNA from 1 species
GGUGCCUACGGGGCGCAGCAGUGAGGAAUAUUGGUCAAUGGGCGGGAGCCUGAACCAGCCAAGUCGCGUGAAGGAAGAAGGUACUUAGUAUUGUAAACUUCUUUUGUCGGGGAACAAAGGCGGAGACGCGUCUCCGGAUGAGUGUACCCGAAGAAAAAGCAUCGGCUAACUCCGUGCCAGCAGCCGCGGUAAUACGGAGGAUGCGAGCGUUAUCCGGAUUUAUUGGGUUUAAAGGGUGCGCAGGCGGGAGAUCAAGUCAGCGGUAAAAAGUCGGGGCUCAAACCCGGCCGGCCGCUGAAAAUGGG